rnacentral:RNase_P_RNA from 1 species
UGAGUUCGCCGGACGGCCGCGGGUUUCGACCUGAGGAAAGUCCGGACUCCACAGGGCAGGGUGCUGGGUAACGCCCAGGCGGGGCAACCCGACGGAAAGUGCCACAGAGAACAGACCGCCGAAAGGUAAGGGUGAAACGGUGGUGUAAGAGACCACCAGCGUCCCGGGUGACCGGGGCGGCUCGGCAAACCCCACCCGGAGCAAGGCCAAGCAGGGACUGGAUUGCCCGUCCGUUACGUCCCAGGUAGGCCGCACGAGGUCGAUGGCAACACCGAUCCCAGAUAGAUGGCCGUCCCCGGGGAGACCCGGGACAGAAUCCGGCUUACAGGCGGACUCGCCAU